AACAUAGUAGGUGCUCAAUGUUUAUUGAAUUAAAACUAUUCACAGCAAGGAUUAUUUCUUACAGAGAUCUAUUUUAAGAUGUUAUUGCCAGGAAAGAGAAUCUAGGGGCAGGGCUUGCCUUAGACCCUGAGAAAUUAACUCAUGUUCCAGAAAUCCUUCCUGGCUCUGCUUCCUCAUUGGUCCCCAUGCAGUGGUGAUGAAGAGGAGUGAUGAUGUAGAAUAUCCUGCUAUUCUGGACAGCAGAUCCCAAUUGUGUUCCAGUCAUUUUAUAAGAAAAUAGAAGGCAUCUACCUCUACAACCUGUGAAGAGGAAACACCCACUUGAUGACAGGCUUCACUACAGAAGAAGUCACAUAACCUGACUCUUCAAACUCAGGAUGGGAUGGGAGCUACAAAGGUUAUCCAAACAAUUUUUAACAGUACUGCCCUACACACAAAAACAACAUGGACUGGUCAGCCAACAUUAAACAUCCCGGACAAGUCAUAGCACCUGGUCCUCAGCAAGUGUGCAUUAGCUAACAG